rnacentral:rRNA from 1 species
AUUGAACGCUGGCGGCAGGCCUAACACAUGCAAGUCGAGCGAGCGGCGGACGGGUUAGUAAUGUCUGGGAAACUGCCUUAUGGAGGGGGAUAACUACUGGAAACGGUAGCUAAUACCCCAUACCAUCAGAUGUUCCCAGAUGGGAUUAGCUCGUAGGUGGGGUAACGGCUCACCUAGGCGACGAUCCCUAGCUGGGCUGAGAGGAUGACCCGCCACACUGGAACUGAGACACGGGCCAGACUCCUACGGGAGGCAGCAGUGGGGAAUAUUGCGAAAUGGGCGAAAGCCUGAUGGAGCCAGGCCGCGUGUGUGAAGAAGGCCUUCGGGUUGGAAAGCACUGUGAGCGGGGAGGCGGUACCCGAAGAAGAAGCAACGGCUAACUCCGUGCCAGCAGCCGCGGUAAUAC